AUCUAUGAGCAUGGAGACCACAGUGUUCUGUUCUGAGUCCUAAGCACCCAGCAUAGUUCAAGGUCCAAGAGAACAGCUAGAUAAGAUUAGUGAAGGAAGUCAUACCACCUGUCUUAGGGUUUCUGUUGCUGUGAACGGACACCAUGACCAAGGCAACUCUUAUAAAAGCACCUGACAGAACCCCAUUCAACUUGGAAGAAGAUGAUGGACAUCAAAAACCUCCACAUGGAGUUGCUUCAACUGUGGCCAGGCUAGCCACUGGGCAAAGAAAACUCCCUGAACUCCUCUGCAGACUAAGUAUUGUCCAAAAGGGACAAAUGAAUGCAAGGAAGUCAAUUGCCAAGCUCUGCCAAGACAGGCACAUUCAUGAAUGCUUCAGAGGACAUCUUGACCUUUUCCUCAUUUUGCACUGACAGUAGAGAAUGAAGGUUCCACCCACUGAGACCAAGCCUCCUCCACCCGUGGGUGCUUCUCCACAUGCUACGAUGGCUACCUGUCCCCUUGUCCAGAGACAUGGAUGAAGCUUUCAGCUUACAGUUCUGUCCUUGAUAAAAGUCAAAGCACCACCACAGUCAGCCAUGCAUCCAGGGGUCCCUUGCAUGGCACAGCUCCUGUCUCAGUCAUUUGAUUGGCCUCAUAAUUCUAUGAGUGGGUCAGAAGAUCAUGUCCACCUGUCAGAAAAAAACUCAGGCCCAGGUAUGGAGCCAACCCUACCCAGAAAUGGGAGUUAACAGUAGAGCUCAGGGCUCAGCGCCAGGGCUCAAGAACACAGGAGAGACGGGAAGGGCUAGAACACAGGUUCCCAGAUGUGUCAGGGAGGGCUUCCCAAAGCAGGCAGCUGAGAAGUUGCUGAGUGAACCCAUCAGAGUCGUCUUGGUGGGAAGGGAGGUCAGAGCCCCAGGCAGGUAUGCCAGAUUCAGACCCCAGAGCAGAGAGUCUUAGGAAGGGCCUCGGAGUCAGGACUGUGGGGUCUUAGGACUAUUGAGGAAUUGAGAAUCAAUCUCGGGACUUCCCAAGUGUUGGCAAGCUCUCUAGCCCUGAGCUGGGUCUCAGCUCUUUAGACGUCUGACUGUGGAUGAGAGCUUACCUAGACCAGAGCAGUCUCUGUGCACACAUGGGGGCAGGCAGUGGUGCACAUGUUCAUGUUGGGGCAUUUGUGUGUGUUGGUGCAUGUGCACAUGUGCAUUAGUGUAUGUGCAUGUGUGUUAGUGUACAUGUAUUUUAGUGUGUGUGAUUAUGUGUGUUAGUGCAUGUGUGUGUUAGUAUAUGUGUGUGCUAGUACAGGUGUAUGUUAGUAUGUGUGUGGUUGUGUGUGUUAAGGCAUAUGUGUGUGUAUGUGCAUGUAUGUGUGUGCUAGGGCAGGUAUGUGCGUGUGUGUGAUUGUGUGUGUGUAUACCUGUGUGUGUGUGUGUGUGUGUGUGUGUGUGUGUGUGUGUGUGUAAGUCAAAGCUCAACCUUGAGGUUAUUCCUCAGGAACCUUCCUGCUUGUUGACGUUGUUUUCGUCUCUUAACAUUUUGAUUUUUUUCUGUUUGUGUUUGAGGGACAUGGACCACAGUGCCUAGGGAGGGCAGAGGACAACUUGAAGGAAUUAAUUCUCUGCUUCCAUCAUGCGGGUUCCAGGAACUGAACUUCGUUUGACAGAAGUGGCACAGCCACCUCACCAGCCCUACCUUGAUGGUUGGUUGGUUGGUUGGUUGGUUGUUUGGUUUCUUUGAGACGGGUAAUCAGUAGCCUGGCUGGUUGACCAGCAAGCUCUACGGAGCCUCCUGUCCCUGCCUCUCUGGUGCUGGGAUUACUGUAGCUCAGCCACCCAGCUUUUUCACUAGGGUUCUGGGGAGCUAAUGGUCCUCGCCUUUGUGCAGCAAGCACUUUACUGACUGAGCCAGCUCUCUAGAUCCCCCUGAGAACUCCCAUUCUGCCAAGACAAUUUCUGUGACAUUUACAGAACACCAGGAGAGCCAACAUGCACUAACACACUUAAUAUUUGACAGAUCUUGGAGACGGGGGGGGGGGCUCCUGUUCACCCCCAUCUUACCGUGAGUGGACCAUGGACCAGAGAGGUUAAGGCACUGACCCCAGUCCUACAGCCCUGAACGGUGGAGCCAGGCAACUGUGGCCAGGCCUCUGCAUCCUCAGACACAGGCUGCCACACUGCUGUGUGUAAUGGCCACACACCCCUACCCUCUCCCAUCCUAGUCACACAGGGGUAGCAACAUAAGGCCACAAGUGGCCCUUUAGAGGGGAUCAUAAUAGGCUGAGAUGUAACCAACUCCCUGCCACCAAGUCAAGGCAACGGAGCCUUCAGGGAUGAGCAGAGACUGAGAGACAGAGAUGGGUUCAAGUACUGGCUUAGCCCCAUAAUGGCUGUGUGACCUUGAGAGAGACAUUGAACCUCUCUGGGCUGCUUUUUCCUCCUGGAUUCUGCUUCUUUGCUGUGUGACCAAAGGUCAGCUGCUCUACCCAUCUGGGCUCCUGACAACUCCACCAUGAAUUCUUUAUGGCUGGGAGAGUGCUUUCCAGUGCGCUGUUUACGACGCAUUUGAUGGGUGGGAAAUCUGGGUAGAGAUGGAGCAGAGGUGAGGCUUACCCUUGUCUGCCUUGAUGCGUCCUGUUGGUCAUCCUCCUAGGCUACUCCACUGCUCCUCUGGUUCUUGCUGUCCCUCCCAGGUCACCUGCUGUCUAUGAGAUGUGUCUCCAGUGAGGAAGACUCCACCCACUCCUCAGCAUCUGGUAGAAUCUGGGAGUCCACAGUUUCUGCCUCAGAGAGUCCAUGAUGGUUUCAUGCACCAAGUAGAUAUCUCUUUCCCAGCAGGAGAGAAGGAAAGCAGUUGACAUCACCUCAUGGGGCCCUGCCUGAGGUGAGCACACAGAGAAAUGGAUAGACCAGAGAAGGCUAGAGAACACCAGGGUUGUAGUUGGGGUAAGGGAGGUUAGCCAGGACCUCAGGAGCUCCCAUGCUGCCCGUUAUCAGCCUCACGUUAUCUUUCAGGCCUCAGUUUCCCCUACCUAUAGAUCACAUACAAGAUUGGGCUGAGGCUCUUUCGAGUAGUCAUUAGGGAUUGGAACAGGGCCAGGCACACAGCAGGCAUAUACUAAGUACUGGCAAACAGCGGGUGCAUAUUAAGUGUUGGUGGCUGUUAGUUUGAACUCUGAGGAAGCUGUCUGGCCUCCAUCAGGUGGUAGUAUCUGGCAUUUUGGGCCAGGCUGAGCAAAGGCCGAGUAGGCAGACCAGGUGAUACAGAGGGUGAGACGUGGCCAGGGUUCAAGCCCUAGUCUACCUCACCCUGAGUUUGGGCUGUGUUGUCCACACCAUGAUGCCCACUAGAAUUACCGGACCUGGAGACAUGGGCAUCUUUCCAUAAAAGCAUCAAUGGGUCCCGUGGCUGCCCCUGCCCAGAACCACAGUAUGUGGGGUCUGCCCCAUGUGUCCCCCCCUGCCUGUGUUCAGGACUCUGUCACCUUGAAUCAUGUAGCCUUCCUCCACCCGCCUUAUAUAUCUGAGCAAGUCACCUGCAUGACUGCACUCUCUGCCUGACAUCCGGGCUCUUCUCACCUGUUCCUGAUGGUGUCUCUGCUUGUGAGACCACGCCUUCACCAAUGGCCCACCCGACAGAACACUGUCCAACAAUCAAUUCAGGCCUUUGUGCACACUGGUACUGUUUCAGCUGUCAAUGCUGGGCUAACUCUUGCUUACCCCUUAGAAUACAGUUUGUGUGCUAUGUCCUUGAACAGCCCUGGGCUGCUGACCUGCUCUCUGUGUCCCCAGCCCUCACUGCCUAAUUCCUCUCUUCCUGAGCUCCCAUAACCCCACACAUCACACAUCGGCCCUGUGGGGACCAGGAGAGGUGUGCAGCUCAUUUGCACACUUGCUGGCUGGUUUAUUGGAUGUCCCCAUGUCCUUGAUUGUCACUCUGUCCUAAUAGGAGACCAGGCUGGUGACCACGUGCCUCCCUCUGCCUACUCCCUGGAAGAAAAGAUGACUUGCCCGUCUUUAAGACUCAGUUUCCCCAUCUGUACAGUAAGGAAAUCCCUUCCACUCCACAGAAACAGUUUGUUCCCCCAUAUUCCCUUCCAGAGACCAUAGCUUUCGAAGGUCAAAGAGCUUGAGGUGAGAUGAAGGCAGGUGACUUCAAAGGGGCCCCCAGUGGCCCAGGAUCCCUGGCAGUGCUCUCACUGAACACUAGGGAAUGCCUCGGGGGCUCCCCACUCACCCACCCUGAGAGAAAGUCCUACUGCGGACCUGAUACUUAAGUGGGAAACGCAAUCAUCAUUUCUGGCGAGAAAGGAAUUGAAAACUAAAUUGAGUGUCUAGUGCCACAUUAAGGGGGCUGACGAAGCAAGAUAGGGCCACCACUGGCUCCAAACCCAGCCAUUUCACGGGCCUGAAAAAUUAGGCUCAUUUUCAUCUCCAUAAUUGAGGGAUCAAGAACUAAGGGUGAUGGGGUGAGAGGCUGGAGGUAGGGGCAUGCCGGAGUGGGCUCAAACCAGUCAGACACUGCAUAUUAAUGCUGGGGACUCUCUCAGGCGACCGUUAAACACAGACACUAUUAAAAGUGACACUGUUCUAACUUGGGUGGGAUGAGGCUGGCCUGGUGGACCUGCAUAUAAAUAUCCCAACACUACUUGCAAGAUAGAGGCAAGAGAAGUAGGUGCUCAACGUCAACCUUGACUCCAUAGUAAGUCUGAGGUUAGCCUGGGCUACAUGAGACCUUGUCUCAAAAGCAAAAUUAAAAAUCAGAAGUGAGACAUACUCAGAAACCAUGGCUCUUAACUCUUUCAUAGCGUGAUGUUCAGUUUGUUCUCUCUUUGCCCCUGGGUGGUGGGGCCACUCUAUCACAGGUGGGACUCUCCUCCAAGCCCCUGCCCAGUGACAGCUCAUUGGCAGUUUGAAACCCUCUGUGGUGGUAGAAUUUACCAGGGAUAAAGGCAGACACCUCCAUCAGCGAUUUCUUCUCAGAGAGUCAAGAAGUCUUUGCUAGACGUGAGCAGGAAGAGGACCAGAAGACAGGAAGAAGUUGAGGAGACUGGGCUCCAACACUGGCAGCAUUCGUCAGCAUCCAGUCCAGCCCUGGACCUCGUGACCCACUAGUGGACCACCUGUGGGUCACUAUUAGCAGCCACAGGAGGGGUGACAGGGCAGAGCAUUUCCUGUCACCAGAGAGGUUAGCACAAGGAUGUCACUGGGAUGCCAACCACUGCGUUAGCACAUGAGGUUUCACAUGGCAGGAAGCCCCUGAGAUCUGGGUCCACCCAUGCCUUACCUUCCUCGAUGCACCUGACCUGGAAAUGGCCUCACUGCUCAGCCCUCAGGGAAGCAGAAGGCAGAAAUGGCAAGAAAGAGCCCUCAGUUCAGCACAGCCUUCCUUCUUCCCUCAAAGGAGGGUGUCAGGUGCCUUGCCUGAAGACCAGGACAGUUCCAGCCCCCAGCUUGUAUGCUGCACCUUCCCAGGUUGCCCUGGCUGCGUGUACACUGGGCAGGCUGCCCUUCCCUGAGGGACCAUCCCGUUUCAUGGUGGGAAACUGUGUCCCUGAGAGGCGGAGAAGCCCAUCCUAAAUUACUUCCCGAAGAAAGGACAUGUCUGGUCUGACACGGGCUCCUCCCAGCUGCCCCAGCCUGCUGUGCCUGCACCUGGCACAGCAUUUCCCUGGAGCCGUGGCAGAUGUGCUCACACCUGCUCAUCAUGGUAUUUAAUCACCCAGUGAACGCUCUUCCGUGCUUCAGAGACAUCGGUCUGCAUUUUCCCCCUCAGUAUAAUGCAGUUCAGUGUCAUCUGUCUCCCAGAAGCAGAAGCCUUCCGGCUCUGGCUCCUGAUGCCUUCUGAUUUCUUCUGUUCCUAGCCCAGUCUCUGGAGUUGGGGAUCCCUGGUGAAGGUUGACAUCGUCCCUGGGUCUUGGAAAGGGGGGAGCUUCUGGCCGUUCUGCAUGCAAGAGACCCAGCAGAACUCAGAGCCAGUCUUCAGCCUCCAGGAUUCUGUUUGUUCUGGAAGCCUGUGUGUGCCUCCUGAACCUCAUCUGCACUUAUAAGACAUAUUUAGCUAUUGUGCCAGUCUUUUUUAUACUCCUAUAACAAAAUGCCUGAGAUAAAUAACUUAUAAGGAAGAAA